GGCGGAACACAAAUAUAUUAUGACAGGAGAAAAUUUGACUUUGAGUAGUGGGCACAUGGUGCAAUAUACAGAUUUUGUAACAUAGAAACCC